AACGAACGCUGGCGGCAGGCUGAACACAUGCAAGUCGAACGCACCGCAAGGUGAGUGGCAGACGGGUGAGGAACACGUGGGAACAUCCCCUUCAGUUCGGAAUAACUCAGGGAAACUUGAGCUAAUACCGGAUACGUCCGUGAGGAGAAAGAUUUAUCGCUGAAGGAAUGGCCCGGGUCUGAUUAGCUAGUUGGGGAGGUAACGGCUCACCAAGGCUACGAUCAGCAGCUGAUCUGAGAGGAUGAUCAGCCACAUUGGGACUGAGACACGGCCCAAACUCCUACGGGAGGCAGCAGUGGGGAAUAUUGGACAAUGGGCGCAAGCCUGAUCCAGCCAUGCCGCGUGAGUGAUGAAGGCCUUCGGGUUGUAAAGCUCUUUUGUCCGGGAAGAUAAUGACUGUACCGGAAGAAUAAGCCCCGGCAAACUUCGUGCCAGCAGCCGCCGUAA
rnacentral:rRNA from 1 species